rnacentral:rRNA from 1 species
AGCGAACGCUGGCGGCAGGCUUAACACAUGCAAGUCGAGCGGGCACCUUCGGGUGUCAGCGGCAGACGGGUGAGUAACACGUGGGAACGUACCCUUCGGUUCGGAAUAACGCUGGGAAACUAGCGCUAAUACCGGAUACGCCCUUAUGGGGAAAGGUUUACUGCCGAAGGAUCGGCCCGCGUCUGAUUAGCUAGUUGGUGGGGUAACGGCCUACCAAGGCGACGAUCAGUAGCUGGUCUGAGAGGAUGAUCAGCCACACUGGGACUGAGACACGGCCCAGACUCCUACGGGAGGCAGCAGUGGGGAAUAUUGGACAAUGGGCGCAAGCAUGAUCCAGCCAUGCCGCGUGAGUGAUGAAGGCCUUAGGGUUGUAAAGCUCUUUUGUCCGGGACGAUAAUGACGGUACCGGAAGAAUAAGCCCCGGCUAACUUCGUG